GGAGGCUUAGCUCAGCUGGGAGAGCAUCUGCCUUACAAGCAGAGGGUCGGGGGUUCGAUCCCCUCAGCCUCCAUCA
rnacentral:tRNA from 1 species